GCGGAUGCGGCUCCCUAUAUACAGCCCGGUCACCAUGGGGAUAGGCCGGGGCCUCUUCCUGUUGGUCCAGACCCCUCAGUCUGCCCAGAGAAGCCGCUACACGAGCGUGGUGAUUGGUGCAAGCGACAUGGGAUGAGGAAAAUAUCCAGUGAAAAAUAACUGAGCUACCAAGUUAAAAUAAAGAGGAGAGUUAUAUAAUAUAAAAAGAAAACCAUUUUGUAACGUUGCUUUCAUCCACAGACAACUGUGCAAGGAAAUGGAUUGCAGUGACAUUCUUUUGCUACAUAGAAAGCCUCUAUUCUCAGCAAGGAUGGGCCAGGCGAUAUAGAUGUUCAGUAGCAGAGCUUUAGUGUCUGUAGCACUGGUGGGUGCCGCAGAGUCCAUCAUUCUCACAGUGCUGGCAGGCAGGGCGUGCUAUGGGAAGGAGGCAGAAGACCAGCUCCUGCAGGCUGCUGUAUGAAAAUGUGGUCAUGAGAUUUCCUCACCCACCAUCCACAGCCCUGCCUGACUUGUUUAAAUCUGCUGUGAAAAUCUUUUUUUGAAAAAAUAAAAGAAAAUAAACCCAACACACAAAUCAUUUCUUUAGUCCUUGAAUGUUUCAUAGGAAAAAUAGUCCACCAAUCAUCUUCAUCAUUUUAGGAAACGGAAGUAUAUUUUAGUAAAGAAACAGAAGGAUUAAGGGUGACUUGACUGCUUCUUUCUAAACUUGUAAGUACAUUUAACAAGAAUAAGAAUUAAAUGAUAGCAGGUCUGUCUCAGAGAAGCCCACACCCAUGUUCUUGGGUGUGUCUUUUUGUGUCUUUUAACCCUCAUGCUUAAAUUUUA